rnacentral:miRNA from 1 species
AUACGAUAUCUGAUGAUCCGUCC